rnacentral:rRNA from 1 species
UACUGCUUCACAUUAGAGGUACUGCCUGCCCAGUGAUUAUUUAACGGCCGCGGUAUCCUGACCGUGCAAAGGUAGCAUAAUAACUUGUCAUUUAAAUCAUGACUAGAAUGAAUGGCAAAACGAAAACUUAACUGUCUCCCUUAUUUAAUCAAUAAAACUGAUCUUCUUGUACAAAAGCAAGAAUAAAAAUAUAAGACGAGAAGACCCUAUGGAGCUUUAAAUAAAUUAUUAUCUGUAAUAACAAUUACAGCCCUAAUUAAUUAUUUUAGGUUGGGGCGACCACGGAGCACAAAAAACCUCCGAGAAAACAACUUAGAAAACACACCAAAGUAAUAAAACAUUUUAAAUAAUUGACCCAAUAAAAUUGAUCAACGAACCAAGUUACCCUAGGGAUAACAGCGCAAUCUUCUCUAAGAGUCCAUAUCGACGAGAAGGCUUACGACCUCGAUGUUGGAUCAGGAUACCCAAACAGUGCAGCCGCUGUAAAAGGUUGUUUCGCAA